UGCCAGUGAUGCAUUCUAUAUUGCACGUAUUAUCAGAAUUAAACAUGAUGAUAUACCAAUAUUGUCACUACCUCUGAGGCA